AUUGAACGCUGGCGGCAGGCCUAACACAUGCAAGUCGAGCGGAUGAAGGGAGCUUGCUCCUGGAUUCAGCGGCGGACGGGUGAGUAAUGCCUAGGAAUCUGCCUGGUAGUGGGGGAUAACGUCCGGAAACGGGCGCUAAUACCGCAUACGUCCUGAGGGAGAAAGUGGGGGAUCUUCGGACCUCACGCUAUCAGAUGAGCCUAGGUCGGAUUAGCUAGUUGGUGGGGUAAAGGCCUACCAAGGCGACGAUCCGUAACUGAUCUGAGAGGAUGAUCAGUCACACUGGAACUGAGACACGGUCCAGACUCCUACGGGAGGCAGCAGUGGGGAAUAUUGGGCAAUGGGCGAAAGCCUGAUCCAGCCAUGCCGCGUGUGUGAAGAAGGUCUUCGGAUUGUAAAGCACUUUAAGUUGGGAGGAAGGGCAGUAAGUUAAUACCUUGCUGUUUUGACGUUACCAACAGAAUAAGCACCGGCUAACUUCGUG
rnacentral:rRNA from 1 species